rnacentral:rRNA from 1 species
UACAGAGGUCUCAAGCGUUGUUCGGAUUCAUUGGGCGUAAAGGGUGCGUAGGUGGUGAUGCAAGUCUGGUGUGAAAUCUCGGAGCUCAACUCCGAAAUUGCGCCGGAUACUGCGUGACUCGAGGACUGUAGAGGAGAUCGGAAUUCACGGUGUAGCAGUGAAAUGCGUAGAUAUCGUGAGGAAGACCAGUUGCGAAGGCGGAUCUCUGGGCAGUUCCUGACACUGAGGCACGAAGGCCAGGGGAGCAAACGGG